ACCGUCCUUAUCUUGGGGUUGCGCUACUGUUCAAUGAACGCGUAGUGAGAACAGUACUGCUAACACUUGAACAACACGUACGCAUCCUUGGGGUUUAUAUCCCAAUUGAGGUGCAAUUUUUGGAACC